rnacentral:rRNA from 1 species
UACAGAGGGUGCAAGCGUUGUUCGGAAUUAUUGGGCGUAAAGGGCGCGUAGGCGGUGCGGUAAGUCUGUAGUGAAAUCUCUGGGCUCAACUCAGAGUCUGCUAUAGAAACUGCCGUGCUUGAGUGUGGAAGAGGAGAGUGGAAUUCCUGGUGUAGCGGUGAAAUGCGCAGAUAUCAGGAAGAACACCCGUGGCGAAGGCGGCUCUCUGGGACGGUACUGACGCUGAGACGCGAAAGCGUGGGGAGCGAACAGG